GUCAGGAUGGCCGAGCGGUCUAAAGGCGCCUGCGUUCAGGUCGCAGUCUCCCCUGAGGCGUGGGUUCUAAUCCCACUUUCUGACA
rnacentral:tRNA from 1 species